GGUAAGGUUUUAAAUCUGAACUCAAAAGAAAUCGAGUGAAUUAAAAAAAAAAAAUUAGAAAGAUAUUUCUCUCUGAUUCUGAGAAGUGACGAAAGUCUUUCUUGAAUCUCGCGUUUUGGCUCUCCGACCCGAACAAAGUCAGUCGAGGUUCGAUCUGCUUCUCGGCAAUCAAUCCGUUACAAAGUUUUAAUCUUUGGUAUCUUUCCUGUAUUAAUUGUUGCUGUUUGGAAGAAAUUACCUAACGAUGCCGUCUCUUCAAACCACGUUGCCUUCUGAACUCGCCAAUGAUGCCAUUAGACUUUACCUUGAGUGCCUUCGAAGGGCUAAAUAUAUUGGUCAUCGGAUAAUCUUGAGUUCAUUUGCCUACUUAGUUUGGUGCCUUGGGUGAUAUAAGGAUUGCGGUGAUAUAGUUAGGGAUGAGAUGGCCACGGAAAUUUGCUUAAACUGUAUUAAAGUGCAAAACUUUAGCUGUGCUUUUCUUUUCCCCCCUUUUCAAGGGAAGAAAAAGUUCUUAUUUUAUUUUUCAAUUUCAACUACAUUGUUGGUCUUUUUUUGUGUCUGGGUUUGUGCUUUUCCAAGGUUAGCGAUCGAGUUUUAGCUUUUCACUGCUUUUUGAGGAAAAAAAAAUGUAUGGAGAUAGAAGGUUUUGGUAGUGAAGGUAGUUGGGGUAAGUAAGGGAUAAGUUGGGCCCUAGCUAGUCAAUGACUUUAUCAACUAUCAAGUGCCCGGGGUUGCCAGCUUAUAUUUUCUCAUCAGCUCAUUGAUCAUCUGUUGCAUUAUAACUACUGAGAAAUCAUUAUGGCCAUUGGUACGGAUUGUUCGAGAACCAAUAGUGGAACUCUUUUCAUUUUGAAGUGUGAUGACAAACAUAAAUACAAACCUCUUUUCCCAAUGCUCUCUGGAGAAUUGUACUUUUUGUAGCAGAGGAAGUGUAGAUCUCAAAGUUUAAAAUAUGAAAAAGGAAGGAGUAGAAUGAGGAUGAGAAUGACCACCAACAGCCAAUGUUUGUCCCGAAUUUGCUAUUAUGUCUGAUACUAUUUUCAUAGUGCUGGAUUCUGGAUCCUGGAUCCUGUACUCCUGGAUUAAAUGCUUGGGCUUGGGGUAUUCAAAGAUUAAGUGUCACAAUAUUUUGACUAAAGGAAUUGAUCAUUUCUUGUUUUGGGAA